GAGGGUAUAGCUCAGUGGUAGAGUGUGUGCUUAGAUGCAGGAGGUCCUGGGUUGAAUCCCCAGUACCUCCA
rnacentral:tRNA from 1 species